UAUAACCACCUCCGAGAACUGCGUCUGUACCUUGAAGAAUAUACCGCUGCUGAAAGCCAUUUUGAGAUGGCUCUGGAAAUCGCCUAAGACAUUGCAAUGCGUGAAACUGACUUAAAGAGCGUAGAUGGCCUUGUUCAAUCCAGUUUACGGCAAGGAAACAACACAAAAGCGCUUCGGUAUUUUUUUCAACGUUUUGAAAUAUACGAACACCUAAGACUUUCCCUCAGAAAUGAAGAUCAUUUAAAAACAUCUUUCUUGGACAUUAAGGGUGGUCAUACAUACACGUGCUGUAGUGCUCUUCUUUGUCAGAACAACAAUCCUCUAGAUGCUCUUUAUGUUGCAGAGCUGGGACGAGCAAGAGGCCUGCCAGACCUGCAGGCUGCUAGAUAUUCUCUUCAGGCAAACAUUUCAGCCAAUCCGAAAACAUGGAUUGGGAUUGAAAAUAUUGUUAGAAGAGAAACUGACUGCGUAUUUUUGUACAUUUCAUUUGUUAAUGAUUACCUUUGUAUGUGGGUCAUUAACACAAGGGGAGAAAUUCAAUUCAAAGACAUGACAAUGGGUGAGGAGAUUCUUGGCACGCGAUUAGUCGGAUAUUUGAGUGACUUUUUUGCUAAAAGUUUCCGAUGCCUCAGCAUGCAAUCCGAAUGGGAAUGCGAAGAUCGAUCUUUACCUCUCGUCAUUAAGCCACAACUCAGUUCAGAUGAGCUAGGAAGCCCCAGAGAUCCGCGACUUCUCGAGGAAGAUGAUGAAGAAGAAGUUAUUUCAGAUUUCCAAUCAAGUCUUUCUUUUAGUUCCAAACUGUUCAUCAUCCCCGUUGCUGACUUCCUUGAGGAACCUGAAGUCAUCAUUGUUCCUCCUAGCAGCUUGUACAAAGUUCCAUUUGCUGCCCUGACAGAUAACAAAGGGAAAUUCUUAUCGGAGACUCGUCGCAUCCGUAUAGUUCCCUCAUUGACGACGCUCAAGCUAAUUCAAGAUAGUCCCGCGGAUUAUCACAGUCGGACUGACGCACUGAUCGUGGGUGAUCCCACAGUUGACUGGGUCAUGUACAAGGGAGGUAUUCAGCACAUCAGCUCAUUGCCAUGCGCAAGAAAGGAGGCAAAGAUGGUUGGACGACUGGUCGGCGUAAAGCCUUUAUUAGGAGAGCAAGCGACGAAGCAGGCUGUACUCGAAAAGAUAACAUCAGUGAGCCUGGUACAUUUUGCUGCACAUGGCGAUGCCGAAAGAGGAGAAGUCGCUCUUUCUCCUAUCCGUACUCCUGACAAUCCCAAUAUCACCCCACAAGAAGAAGACUAUCUGUUGACGAUGGACGAGAUAUCACAAGUUAAAGUCAGAGCUAAACUGGUUGUACUCAGCUGUUGUCACAGUGGAAAUGGACAGAUCAAAGCUGAAGGAGUCAUUGGAAUCGCUCGAGCGUUCCUAGGAUCCGGUGCUCGGUCGGUAUUGGUUGCGUUAUGGGCCAUAUCAGACACAGCAACAGAACAGCUCAUGAGUCGUUUCUACGAACAUCUUGUCAGUGGAGAAAGCGCCAGUGAAUCUCUUCACCGGGCCAUGAAGUGGAUGAGAAACAACGGCUAUACCAGAGUUUCGGAGUGGGCUCCAUUCAUGUUGAUUGGAGAUGACGUCACGUUUGACUUUGGUAAUAAGGGUAAGUUUAAAGUUGAUAGUUUUCAUUUAUAUCUCAGAUUCAAACUUUUCUGGCACGGUGAAGGGAGUCUUUGAUUAGGAGAGUCAAAUAUUGCGGAAAAUAGGUCAAGAAAGGAAAAAUCAAGGUUUCUGAGAGCUGCUUUCAAUUGAAUGAUGGAAGUAAUCUGAGAUUGCAAAAGGUUUUCAUCACUGAGCUCCAUAAUUUGUCUGGGAAACUCGUGUUAUCCUUUCAACUAAUUACUUACAAAACUAUAAAACCAAACGCGUGAUCGUUUAUAUUCAUUGAAUUUUGUGUCCCCUACUGAUUAGAACAGGUUUUUAACAUAAGCUAGGAGGUUUCUUUAGACACCUUAAUAAAGUUUCAUCAUCAUCAUCGUCGUUGCUUGCUUGUAACUGUGAUGUUGACACAGGUCAGUUCUGAUGAGCUGUGGCGAUUUCUCUGGCUUUUGUUUCACGAUACUCCAUCGAAAAGCGCUAUUAUGACUGUACAACGAAUGAAGGUGUUUCCAUUCGGUAAAUUUAAUUGUUUUCGUAAAUCCCCGGCGAUGAAUUUCAAAGACUAAUAGCAGAGUAAGUAGAACCUUUAAUCGGACGUUUGGUAAGUAUUGAAACAGAGACAGGGCAGGCAUUUUUCAUGCUUGCCCUGAUUCAGUAAGGUCAGUAAGUUAAAGUGUAAGUGCCCCUAUAGCACGAGUUCUGUUUCGUUGUUUGAUUUACUUAAUAAUCCUUUAAGUCACACUAGGUGACUGGUCACGCACUCCUAAGAGUAAUUCAAUAUAGACGAAAAAAGGCUUUUGAUCAGUUUGGUAAGCACGUGCUCGGAGGAAAGACCGGAAAUCAGUAAAGGAAAGAAAGGAAAGGUUUAAUCGAUUUCUACUCUCACCAGAUCCGGCAAUAAUCCCUAUCCUAGGAAAGUCAACUACAUGGAACAGCAAAAACAACCAAAACGGAUGUGUUUGCUUAGCGAUGAUUUUGAACGAGGGAAAAGGACUUAUUACUUAAUUUUUAUACGAUACUGUGAAGAUUUGUAUAUGUGUUAAUCAACUGUGAUAGUUUGUAAGCGAAAUUUUUACUGAAUUCUCAAAUUUAUUCCAGAAACACAAACGAGGCAGUAUAAUUUACAGAACAUAAAAGAUUUUCUUUGUGUAAGACUUGUUAAAGUUACCUCAAUGCCGGAACCAACACGACUAGGCGGAAAAUUGCUGUUAAACUCCACACUGGAUUGCUGCUUUGAGAUGGUAACCAUAUUGUAUAUUCACGGACGUGGUAUACGUUUAUUUCACAGUUCUCUUGGUAAAUUAUUGAGUUCACACGUCCGUUAACAACAACCAAAUUUUGCAACUAAUAAAAA
rnacentral:misc_RNA from 1 species